AGUUACAAGAAGGGAAAAGUGCGUGGCUUGAGAGGAAGGCAAGAUUCCUCCCUAAACAGGAUUCUUUGGCCCUUUGGCCCAAUAUUUCACUUACUUGGAACUGUGGGGAGAGUAUAAAAGGAGCCACAGGAAACAAAUAUUAAAUUCUCAGACCACACAUGGAAUCUUAUUCAGUCAGGCCUGACAAGCUGCUGACCUAGAAGCAUCCAAUCUCUACACUAGAGCACAGGGAAGAGAUGUUCCCUUCACAGGCUGUCGCCCAGGGGAGAUACUCGUUGUUUCAACGCACGGCCAUUUUUGGAGACACACACUGGUCCAUCGCCACAGAAGCAUGACUAUCCGUCUAAAUAUAGAUGUGCCUGUCGCCUCAGAGAAAGAACAGACAAGAAGUCAUGACUCCACUUACUCUAAGGAAAUUUUAAGGUGAUAAAAUUGAAAAAUCAAUGGAUGUUACAUUUCUUAAGUCCAUAAAUCUGCUCUAAGAUCAAGUUAUGAUUAUCUCACCUGUGUUUCACUUCUCUGGAUCUUAACUGCUAAUGUAGCCCCCAGCCCCUUCUAAAGUAGCCCCAUCCCUAUCUCAAGAUAUUUCUGUCCUCAAAGGAUAUCUCAAAGGUGCUGAAGAUCAAAUACAACUGGCUACCUAGCAAGGCAUUCUGCAAGGACCCCCCACUUUAUCCCGUUCUUUCUCCUGUGGCCCUCACUUGCUGUGAUCACCUAAAAGGCUAUAUAAUGUAAAAAGCACAGACUCUGUAACCUGCCAGUUUAGGUUCGAAUCCCAGCUUUUCCACAUAUGGGCUCUGUAACCUUGGGCAAGCUAUUUAGCCUCUCUGUGCCUCAAUUUCUGCUUUUAUUUUUUCUAUAUAACAUUAUCUAACCUCAUCAUGGGGGUAGUUAUGAUGAUUAAAUGAGUUAAUAUUUAUAGAGCAGUUAGAAUAAUGACUGGUACCUAGCAAUCACUCAAUAAAUAGAUUCCCAUAAUCACUAUUGCUGCUGGCCCUGGCGGUGGCUUUGGUAAGUCCUGCAAUAAGGUGUCAAAACUAUAAGAGUUCUGUACAAAGUAAAGGACAAUGUCUUCCCUCCUUCUGUGAUACGAUAUCAAAGGGUAACAAAGCAGUAAAGCUUAUAUCCAGUGUUUUCUGAAAUUACUGCUCAAGUAGUUCUUUACAUUUCUACUCAAAGCCCCCUCCCCACACUUCUUAUAAGAUCAGCCUCCAAGGACUGCAAUGAGACAUGAGUCCAUAGAUACC